AUUGAACGCUGGCGGCAGGCCUAACACAUGCAAGUCGAACGAGUGGCGGACGGGUGAGUAAUGUCUGGGAAACUGCCUGCUGGAGGGGGAUAACUACUGGAAACGGUAGCUAAUAACGCAUACCAUCGGAUGUGCCCAUAUGGGAUUAGCUAGUAGGUGGGGUAAAGGAUCACCUAGGCGACGAUCCCUAGCUGGUCUGAGAGGAUGACCACGCACACUGGAACUGAGACAAGGUCCAGAAUCCUACGGGAGGCAGCAGUGGGGAAUAUGUCACAAUGGGCGAAAGCCUGAUGCAGCCAUGCCGCGUGUAUGAAGAAGGCCUUCGGGUUGUAAAGUACGUUCAGCGGGGAGGCGUUACCCGCAGAAGAAGCACUGGCUAACUCCGUGCCAGCCGCCGCGGUAAUAC
rnacentral:rRNA from 1 species